GCACGUUCAGUGAUGAGGCAUGGGAAGAAGCACUGGGCAGUGUGUGACACCCGCGGGGAGUGGCUCUGUACUUGCAUUUCUUCUGAGAGCAGC
ensembl:snoRNA